UUCUGUCGACCACAAAUGUCACUGUUUCCACGUUCACCUUUAUUCAUAGUAUUUUUAAUGUGCUGAUGGAUUUGAUCUGGAUUAUUCAAAUGGCGCGUUAUACAGGUGUUGAUAGUUCCCCUCCUCAGCGGCUUCUUUUGUUUUUAAAGUUUCAGCAAAUCCCAUAAUCCUAUCCCAGAUUUAUCUUUUAAAAUAAAGCAAUUUUUUAAUCACAUACAUAUUCCAUCCAUGGCUUAUUCCAACACUUCAUUGAAGCUACAUCAUGCUGUAUUUAAGAUACCAAUUUUUUAUUGGAAGCACGUACAACAACUACAAAAUUCUGGCUGGCAUUACAAACUUCUGUUAAAAUUCAACUUCAUGUUUGCUAUUUUUUUUCCAGUCAAUUAAAAAAACAU